AAACAUUUAAGGGAUCCUUCUAACAAAACCCAGUGAUUAGUGGUACAUCUGGAAUGAGGGAUUAUUCCAAGGUUUAUUAUUUAGAUAAUAGGUGACUCAUGCAGAGACUAAACACAGGAAAAACAAUUUUCAGGAAAAAUUAGAAAAGUUGCUAUUUAUACAUGUUAAAUUUGAGUUGUCUAUAACAGAUCUGUCUACUGAUAACAAUUUGGCUAUCGAACUCAGGAGUAAAAUUUUGUCUAAAGAUAAAAGAUGAAAAUUAGAAGUGCCUAAAACUGACAACGGGUCUGGUAUCUAGAUCAUCCAAGGAACUUCCGCAAAUUCAUCAGACUAAAAAGAAGAACCCUAAAUAGAAAAAAAAAAAUGGUCAAAGGACAGGAAUAGGCAAUUAAUAGAAAAGGAAACUCCCAAAUUUCUCAAGCAUAUGAAGAGAUGCUUAAGCUCAUUAGUAAUGUGAGACAUGAAAAAUUAAAAUUGCAAUGGUAUGUUACUCUCUAUCUAGUCUACUGGAUAAAAAUUAGAAAGUUAGACAACAUGAAGUGUUGGCCUGGAUUUGAAGAUGCAGGAAUUUAGAGACUGGUUGGAGAAGCAGGCAAGAGAUGGGCAUUCUGGAGUGCAAUCUGACAGUAUUUGGUUAAAAUUGACUAAAUUAAGUAUAGACACCCCCUCUGGCCCAAUAAUUCUGCUUCUGAAUACACGUGUUGAAGAGAUUCUCACACAUAUCCACAGGGUGCCUGUGCAGCAGUAUUCACUGUGAUAGGAAGUGAGAAGCAGUCUGAGUGUUCAUUGCUGAGGGAAUCAAGGGCAAAAUAUCAUGGAUGCACUCAUGGACAAAUAAGCAGCAGUUUGAAGCAACAACCUAGAUGGAUGUACAGCCAUCAAGAGGAUCUUAAAGUGUGGUCUUUAGUGGAAAAAAAGGUUACAUUUGAACAUAUUUAUCUGCUAAAGCAAAAUAAUUCCCAUCAUUCUAUAGCAGAAGCAAUGUAUGGGAGACUGAGUAAUUACAUAUAAGCUCACAUCACUAUCUCUUCCACCACUGUCAUCCAUCAUGACUGAUCUGGGAGAUGAAACAGCACAGAUCUAAAGGACGUGGUAAGAAUCGAGAUCACCAGAGAUCAGUAGAUACUUGCAUACUUGCAGGAUUAACACUGUCUGGAUUCCAACGAUCAGCUGAGUAUGUUCAAGAUAAAGCUAUAGUACAUAUUUUAGAUUGGGGAUUGGCAACAAAUAGCUGUAGACUACCUUCUGAGGAAUAAGUGUUUUCACAUGUGUGGGUGUCAUUUCUAAUCCCAGCAUCACAGUCAGGUCCAGAUACCUGUUUCUGAUCUUUGGUCCUAUGCCUAAUCUCCUCCAAGAGUCCUUCCCUGGAUCUCCUAUCUAAGCAAGAUGCUCGAUGCCCACCAAUGAGUACUGCACCAAGUUCAUUUCCACUAGCCUGUGUUACAAUUUGUGUUUCUGUAUGUUUCCCUUACUUGUUAUUCUUUGUCUUCCGCAUUAGACUGAAAGCACUGCCACGGGGACCAUGUCUAGGACAUAGGAGGUCCUUAAUAAAUAUUUCUUGAGUGGAUAAAUGGUGAACCAUAGGGGUGGCAUAAGAGCAAAUAGAGGGUAGAUGAGCACUAAUCCAUUCACCACCCUGUUUAUGGGUGAUGGAUCUUGGAUGGCCUUUUUCAUAGUCAAAACAUACUUUUUAGAUCUGGCUUCUUGGGAUGUAUUCAAGGAUGCUAGCCAUGUUUGAGACUGUAAAUAUGUCUAGUGAAUAGGGCUUCAGGCUGUGUGUGUUUGCCUUGUUUUGCACAGAAUUCGGCACAGCCCCAAGCACAGAUGGGUGCUUCAUAAAUAUUAUGGAAGGAUGAUGACACAAAAGAUUAUUUAAUACCUCUACAUGGGGUGGAGACGGACCUCAGGCCACAAACAUACUUUCAAUGUGUUUUACUUCUGAAAUCAUUUGAACCAAAAUGUUUCAGCAACACAGAUUCAUCUGCAACCACAAAUCAGACACAUUCAGAAUGACAAAGCCCCAAAAGAAUGCCAUUUUCAAGGCUGAAACUGUAUUAUUCUGGGCUAAAUGGAAUCCUUGUUUUAGUGACACUGUAAGAGUAGAAAUUAAAGACACUGAAAAUCUUCCCUUGGGGAGCCACAAUUAUCUGUGAACAAUGAAAGUUUGUCUGAAUAAUUCAUCAGCCUCAAGGGUACAGGCCUCCCCUUAUUCUGGAAUCCCAGGAGUUUAGGCAAGUGUGUCAUUUAAUGGAUCUCAACUGUGUCCUCAGUUGUUAUUAUUCCAGGGCCUGGCAUUUAUGGGCACAUUCCUAUAAUUUUACUAAUUAAAGAAAAAAUAAGCUAUAUGGGAAACCACUGUCAAGGUCGAAAUUUUGAAGCUGCAUUGAUUUUACCUAGGAAGAAAGAAGCUUAUAAAGUGUCCAUCAUGAGAAUCCACCUGGGACCUACACAACAGAUCAAAUACCCAGAACAAAUCACCAAGUCAGAGCCCCACAGAAUUCUGAUUCCCAACCAGCAAGCAUGAAUAAUCCUUUUAAAUGGUCACUUACAUAUCAGAACAGGUCCUUUGUGAAAUUUCUAAGCAAGGCCUCUGGUUUCUGACUGAAACAGAGAUUUAUUGAGAAGGAGGGGUAAAGUGAAAUCAAGAACUACUGGGAAAUUUCCACAAGAAACAAGGACAAAUGGUUUUUGUUGUCAGAAUAAAACCAGCCUCCCCUAGCCAUGGUUUGGAAAGUUAUUUGCUAGCCCACAGGGGACAAUAUUCUCAACUGGUUUAUCAGGGACCCUUUUGAUCCAAUUAUAAUUAUUGGGCAGAUACAGUAGUACCCUAUUAUCAGAAGACCUAGUUUCAAAUCCUGAGUCAAUUUCUAAUUCACUGUGUGACCUUGUACAAGUCACUUAAGCUCUCUGAUCAUUGGUUCAACAUCUUUAAUAUGAGGAGAGUAAUACCUACCUCAAUUACCUCAUAAAAUUAUUGCAAAGAUCAAGUGAGUUGAUAUGUUACAAAUUAUUUCUAAAUUAUAAGAUUCUGUAUAAGUGGAAGGGUUAAAUAUACUCCCAUAUUAUUAAAUACCCUACAUAUCACUCAGGAUCCUAUAUGACUCUGAGUUCUCAAUUUCUAGAAAUGGUCCCAUUUUUGCUUUGUUCCCUACAAUUCUACGGAGUCUUUUUUUUUUUUAAAGGAAGGGUGUAGGCAAAGGUAAAUGGGAGAAAACAUGGAAUCACAUACCACUCUUUGGUGCUGCUAGGCAAGAAUUUUAAACUGAGUUUAGUUCACCAUCGUGGACUUAAGGUCCAUAUCACCUCAGGGAGACAAGUAGAGUGGGAGGCAUCCAAAAGGUAGGUGAUUCUUCUCCCCUCUAGUGAAGAAUACAAGGUCAAUUUACAAAAAAGCACCAGCAGCAAAUAAUUGGAAAAUUAAAUUCAUAAAACAUUCAUAAUAGC